AUGAACGCUGGCGGCGUGCUUAACACAUGCAAGUCGAACGGAUGAGUGGAGCUUGCUCCAUGAGUUAGUGGCGAACGGGUGAGUAACACGUGAGCAACCUGCCCCGAAGAUUGGGAUAACACCGGGAAACCGGUGCUAAUACCGAAUACCUUCCUUUCUCCGCAUGGUGAGAGGAAGAAAUGUUUUUUCGCUUCGGGAGGGGCUCGCGGUCCAUCAGCUUGUUGGCGGGGUAACGGCCCACCAAGGCGACGACGGAUAGCUGGUCUGAGAGGACGAUCAGCCACACUGGAACUGAGACACGGUCCAGACUCCUACGGGAGGCAGCAGUGGGGAAUCUUGCGCAAUGGGCGAAAGCCUGACGCAGCAACGCCGCGUGAGGGACGAAGGCUUUCUGAGUUGUAAACCUCUUUCGACAGGAACGAUUGUGACGGUACCUGUAGAAGAAGCACCGGCCAACUAUGUGCCAGCAGCCGCGGUGAUACAUAGGGUGCGAGCGUUAUUCGGAUUUAUUGGGCGUAAAGAGCUCGUAGGCGGUUCAACAAGUCGGGUGUUAAACCCCCAGGCUCAACCUGGGGCCGCCACCCGAAACUGUUGUGACUAGAGUUUGGUAGGGGAUCACGGAAUUCCUGGUGUAGCGGUGGAAUGCGCAGAUAUCAGGAGGAACACCAGUAGCGAAGGCGGUGAUCUGGGCCAAUACUGACGCUGAGGAGCGAAAGCGUGGGGAGCGAACAGGAUUAGAUACCCUGGUAGUCCACGCCGUAAACGGUGGGCACUAGGUGUGGGGACUUUUCAACGGUUCCGCGCCGCAGCUAACGCAUAAG
rnacentral:rRNA from 1 species